CUUCGACCAUAGUUGGGGUUCGGGGUUGGGAUGCGAUCCGGACUACUCUCUGGGCGCACAUUGAUUGCCAGCGAGACUACUCUGUAAUGGCCUGGUCUGGCCUGGUGGGGCGUCAUGUGGUGUUAUGUGGUGUGGUCUUGUUCUUGUCUGGUUGGAUGGUUCAAGCGUUGAAAUUUCAAUUACUCAAGCAUAUGAUAAAUGAACUUGUAGCCGCAAAUUUUCUCGCCCCUUGUCUGGCAGGCUGGGGAAUCCAUUAUGAAGACACACCGCAAGCCGCCCACUAAGUGUGUGGGCGUGUCACUCACAUGUUCAUGUGCAAAAAGUGCAGCUUGUGAAAUGAUUGUGAAAAAUACUUGCUCAACUUUUGCCCAGACUACAGUUUGCUCGAACCAAAUAUGCAAAGCCUUCUCCGGGUCAACAUGAAAGGAGUUGCGAAAGUUUGUGUGUGCGCAGCAGCUGCUGAAUUUCAUUCAUUGCUAAGCACAAACUGCUGCUUCAGCCCCAAUGCUGUGCCAAAGUGGAUGGUCCGGAUCCGUCCGGGUGCUCCGCGAAAAUGGUGUGAAGUUUCAUUUCACUUCAGUUGCGGGUGUUAUAAAAAAGGCAAACUGAAAACCACAUACAAGAAUGUAAUGCAAUGCUGAGUGAAGAAGCUGGAGCAGUGGUCCGGGAAUGUCGAGAGGGACCGAGGGAAUCUACCAGUCAGAAUGGCGACGAGGAGAGGCCCCACAACAGUCAGCAAACAAUGGUUUGAACUGUGUAGAAAUUGAGCACGCAGAAUGAAUCUCAAAUAGUUUGAAUUGGAAAUUUCUAAAAAAAAGCGAAAAUGUAUCAUAAAAUUGGAUUUUGCGCAAGUGCAGCACAUAUUUGUUAACUUUUUGGUUACACUGUCUUGUCUGUAG